rnacentral:rRNA from 1 species
GGCGGCGUGCUUAACACAUGCAAGUCGAACGAUGAAGCCUUUCGGGGUGGAUUAGUGGCGAACGGGUGAGUAACACGUGGGCAAUCUGCCCUUCACUCUGGGACAAGCCCUGGAAACGGGGUCUAAUACCGGAUAACACUCUGUCCUGCAUGGGACGGGGUUAAAAGCUCCGGCGGUGAAGGAUGAGCCCGCGGCCUAUCAGCUUGUUGGUGGGGUAAUGGCCUACCAAGGCGACGACGGGUAGCCGGCCUGAGAGGGCGACCGGCCACACUGGGACUGAGACACGGCCCAGACUCCUACGGGAGGCAGCAGUGGGGAAUAUUGCACAAUGGGCGAAAGCCUGAUGCAGCGACGCCGCGUGAGGGAUGACGGCCUUCGGGUUGUAAACCUCUUUCAGCAGGGAAGAAGCGAAAGUGACGGUACCUGCAGAAGAAGCGCCGGCUAACUACGUGCCAGCAGCCGCGGUAAUACGUAGGGCGCAAGCGUUGUCCGGAAUUAUUGGGCGUAAAGAGCUCGUAGGCGGCUUGUCACGUCGGAUGUGAAAGCCCGGGGCUUAACCCCGGGUCUGCAUUCGAUACGGGCUAGCUAGAGUGUGGUAGGGGAGAUCGGAAUUCCUGGUGUAGCGGUGAAAUGCGCAGAUAUCAGGAGGAACACCGGUGGCGAAGGCGGAUCUCUGGGCCAUUACUGACGCUGAGGAGCG